GAUGAACGCUGGCGGCGUGCCUAAUACAUGCAAGUCGAGCGAAGCGGGGACGGGUGUGUAACACGUGGACAACCUCCUAUCAGACUGGGAUAACUUCGGGAAACCGGAGCUAAACCGGAUACUUAUAGAUGGAUCCGCGCUGCAUUAGCUCGUUGGUAAGGUAACGGCUUACCAAGGCAACGAUGCAUAGCCGACCUGAGUGUGUGAUCAGCCACACGAGAACUGAGACACGGUCCAGACUCCUACGGGAGGCAGCAGGAGGGAAUCUUCCGCAAUGGGAGAAAGCCUGACGUAGCAGCGCCGAGUGAAUGAGGAAGGACUUCGGAUCGUAAAGCUCUGUGAGUAGGUAGGCGUUGCCUAAUCAGAAAGCCACGACUAACAACGUGCCAGCAGCCGCGGUAAUAC
rnacentral:rRNA from 1 species